GACGAGGGGUCCUAGCGUUGUUCGGAAUCAUUGGGCGUAAAGCGAAUGUAGGCGGCUUUUCAAGUCAGGUGUGAAAGCCCCGGGCUCAACCCGGGAAGUGCAUCUGAUACUGUUGAGCUUGAGUAUGGUAGAGGGCAGUGGAAUUCCUGGUGUAGUGGUGAAAUACGUAGAUAUCAGGAGGAACACCGGUGGCGAAGGCGGCUGCCUGGACCUAUACUGACGCUGAGAUUCGAAAGCGUGGGGAGCAAACAGG
rnacentral:misc_RNA from 1 species